rnacentral:lncRNA from 1 species
AUGGGGCCCAUGUGUACGGCCAAGAUCGAAGCACGUUUGUCGAGGAACGAUCCUAACGGUCUUGGUUUUCCUAUAAAUACCCAUCCAUCCCCAUUGCAAAACCCACUUGAAUUCUGAGUUUGUUCUCUAAGUUGGGGUGCUUUAACACUUCAUACCUGAGAAUACUCGGAAGUUCAAUCUUGCGGGGACCCUUUGUGCCGUUUGAUUCCGUGAUCUUCUAGCAUUGCUUGGUGGUUAUCCUACGACUUCUAAGCAAUCUCAAGAGUAAAUGCAUAGGAUGAUCGUGAUACACUAGGGUGGACUUGG